rnacentral:misc_RNA from 1 species
GAUGAAGAACGCAGCGAAAUGCGAUAAGUAAUGUGAAUUGCAGAAUUCAGUGAAUCAUCGAAUCUUUGAACGCACCUUGCGCCCUUUGGCUAUUCCGAAGGGCAUGCCUGUUUGAGUAUCAUGAACACCUCAACUCUCAUGGUUUGCCAUGAUGAGCUUGGACUCUGGGGGUCUUGCUGGCCUAUGGUCAGCUCCUCUCAAAUAAAUCAGCUUGCCAGUGUUUGGUGGCAUCACAGGUGUGAUGACUAUCUACGCUUGUGGUUUUCCAUCAGGUAACCUUCAGUGAUGGAGGUUCGCUGGAGCUCAUAAAUGUCCCUCCUCAGCGAGGACAGCUUUUUGAACAUUUGAUCUCAAAUCAGGUAGGACUACCCGCUGAACUUAAGCAUAUCAAUAAGCGGAGGA